UGGAGGGAGGCUCGCCGGCCGGAGCAGCAGGAACAAGGAGGCGGGGUCGGCCGUGGAAGGGAGGCUAGCCGGCCAGAGCAGCAGCAGCAAGGAGGCGGGGUCGGUCGUGGCAACUGGAAGAGCUGCUGGUCAGCCUGACACACUGCCUCAGCCAUGUCUCCUCUGAUGCAGCCCGGACGCUCAAGAGAGGUAGUUGUGCCGUCACUGGUGGCGAGUUCAGCGGCCGCCCCCUCCUCUUCUCUUCGAACCCAGCCCUCUCUUGAGUGUGUCGUGCCCUCAACUACGGUAAAGCACCAGGUCCACGUGAGCUCCUCCUUCAACCCGCUGUGCAGAUUGUUUUUCAUUAUCAGGGAGGACAAUAUUCUUUUCAAGGACUCAUUAGUCCCAGAAUAUUUAGCUGGAUGUGCGAUCUCUUCUGCCGCUACAUCUCCGUUCGACUCGCCAAAGUUUGUUGUUCUCCUUUUUACAUGUGUGUGUGUUUUACUUUCACUAUCUGCUAUAUCAUGCUAUCUGCCUUCAUGAUCGUUUAAGUAUUAUUAUGGUGUCUGCCAUGCUGAUCGUUUAAAUAUUUCGGAUACGGCAGGGCAUUGUGUGUUGUUCGUUCUCUUGCUACUUACAGUUCGUGUAUGCGUGUGAGCAGGAUCUAUGCACGUGUUUCCGUUGUUAUACUUGUUUUGGAGGCUGAGGUAGCUCAGUGUGCUUUGCCGUCACUUUCGUGUCUGUGUGAGGUUGUAAACGACGGUUCUGUUCUUGCUGGUGUAGAACUUGAGCUCCCAGGGGACGGUUCUGCUCCAGUGCCACAAAGAGAUUUUUUUAGCUCGGCUUGGUGUGGUUUUAUGAAUGGCUAUGAGCAGGCUGCUCUACAGGUCUUGCGUAUUUUGCAAGGUUUAUAUGGACUUUUCGUUCAUGACAAUAACUAUGAAUGUAUGAUGGCCUAUAGGAGAUCUUUCUGUUCAAGAACAUUGCGGUUUCUUUGAUUCCUACUAUGCUAUUUACUCAGUCUGCAGGCCAGCAUAUUAUUUAGAUUCUUUAUAACUACCUUACUUCAAAGCUCAGUGCUGGUUUCCUUCAAGCUACAACCCCAAGGUAUGUCUUCUGAAACAGACAACUAUAAUAUGCUUAUAACUACUUAAUUGCACUCAUGUUUGUGUUUCCUUUUGUACCAAAUCGUCGUGCCCUGCCGGCUAUGCUAUAUGCCCACAUAUUUACACAUGUCUCCCUCUUCACUGGUUUUCUUUCACGCACCAGGCGAGCUCUGGUGGUCAAGCUGAUGCUUCUUCGCCUCCUGUUGAAGAAAAGGAUGAUAAGGAUGUCCAGGCUCGAGUGACCAGGAACAAGUGGUGCUGCUUUUUAUGCUGUCCAUCUAUAUAUGCAUCCCUUCAGUUUGUACAGACAAAACAAAUAUUCAUUUCUGACUAGAACAAAACUUGCAGUUAAGAAACUCUGCUGCUGGAAAGGGAGCUGGGGUACUAAACAGAAUAUAGUUUGAGCCUGCCAGUUCUUAUUAAUCCUAUGGCCUGUAUUUUUGCAGCAAUCGUCUUUUAUGUCUGGUUCCCAAAGUUAUUAGUUAGCCUGCCUAUUUCUCGCUGUUUGAUAACCUAUACUCCCUCCAUUCCAAAAUAUAGUGCGCCCAUGCUUCCCGAGGUCUAAAUUUGACCAUAAAUUUAACCAAUGAGACCAACUGCGGCGGGA